UAAAACGUGCAGCAACAUGCCAUCAUAUAUAUUAUUUAGGAUUAAUUGAAAUUACAUGGGGAUACCUAUUAUAUAACAACUUCUAUUUCAACAAGUACAUUUUAUAACACUUCGUACAAUGCUGCAUAUUACAUUCCUGUAGAACAGGACGUAAGUUAUUCAUCUUGCAGAACGUAAUUAAGUAGUAGAUAUUAUGGGAUAAUUAAAUGAAGAGAGGCGCCAUAGGCUCUUAAUUAGUGACCCCAGCCAUACGUAGUAGUGGUGGCCGGGCAGAUGACGUCUUACAUUUUGUCGCGCUGCUGCUUCCCCGUGGUGGAUUGCUUUUGCUCCAGUCCUCCUGUGCCGUACGAGGUUCUCAGUUAGAAUAGCUCUGUUAACACUGUAACAAAAUAAUAUCUAGGUCAUUUUUUUAUUUAACAUCAUUGACUUUUAUAUCUGUAUUUGACCAUUUGCCAUAUUUAAUUUUCUUGUGAAAACAUACAAAAUUAUAAUUCAUUUUUAAAAUUUCUUUAGUAAUAAAUUAAAUUAUAACAAAAUAAUUAAUAAUUAUAUGAUUUUGUUAAUAAGAAAAAUAGUUAAAUACAUAUAUGAUAUAAAAAUCAACGCCGUCGAAUAAAAAAAAUCUGAAUGAAUAUAUCGUAUAGAACUCACUCUGUGGAGUUGACUUAUCCCGGUCAUGUUUACUGUUAUCUCCUCCCUCAGUCGACCGCGGUUUAGAAUCCGUCUGAUAGAUCUUCUCCGAAGCGUCGUUUAUUUUCGCCGCGGAGGGACGGCGUCGUCGCGAAGGUGAAACAACGGAGCAUCAUUUCGCACGGCGAAUGCGCUUGAUUUUGCAGAGGAGUCGCAGCUAGCUGCUACCUACCGUGUCUAGGCACAAGCUCGAUCGCCUUUUCGAUCAAGAUAUAUAGUCGGGUGAUCGAUGAGCGCUUGCUGCUGUGGGUGCUGCCUCUUCAUUUUACAGGGGUAUUUAUAGGCAGGGGUGUGUUGAGCAGUAGAUCGAGCUGUCGAAUUGCUUGCUAGUGCUACUGAUGUUGGACUGAAUAUUAUUGUAUCUUAAUUAUCGGUGAGUCGUCGCAGUCGUGGGGUUGGUUUUCUCUACUAGUUUAUGACUCGUUGCUGUCGGGGUCAAUGUAACACAAAGGCCGCAGAUUAUAAUCGAUCAAUCAAAGGGCAUGAACAACGCACCAUGCAUGCUCAUAGGCAAAGAGAGUGUGUGGUCUAGGCUCCACCUCACACCUCAGUUUGUGCCCUCUAGACUCUUUGUAUCAUGUGAAAGGGCACGUAGCCUUAACGGUUGCAGUGACCUGAGUAAUAUUUAUGGUCUUAGUUCAAAUCUUCAUAGGAGUAUAAAUUUCAGAUAGGAUUAUUUGAGGUGCUAUGUUUCUUACUUGGCUAAACCUAAAUUAAAAAAAACUGCAUAUAUAUAUAUAUAUAUAACCGGAUAUAGAAGCCGGCUAAAAUACCCUUAUAGAAAAAAGUAAGUAGAAAAAGAUUCUUCGAGUCAUGUCACCCUGCGCUAUUGCCCGAUCUGCAUGCCCCGCCGUUGGAGCUGCCUCGAUCUAGCCACAGUGGUUGGAGGAGAAGCGGGUCAGCAUCGGUCAUCGCCUGAUCCACGUUGAUUCGCAAUGCCACGCCAGUUAGGAGCACAUCCCACGCCAGUUGUUGAUGCGUUCUCCCGGUGAGGAGGAAUGGAGAAAAGGAUGUUGGUGAGCUUGAAAUGGAAUUCAUGAGAUCGAGGAUGGAUCCGAUGUUCGGAGAAGGGAGAAAAGUUUGAGCUCGUCCCUCCGCCAGAUCCGUGCUGCUGACCAUCUUGUCAUCUCCCUCAUUGUGCUGCCGAGGGAAGAGAUCGAGUUGAUCGGGGGAGGAGAGGAUGAGCGCCGGCUAGGGAGAGGUGUGGUGCGGCGGAGGGCAGAUGGUGGCUGGGUUGUGAGCUAGUAUAGUGGCGGGUGGCUAGACAGAGAGGAGCACCAGCCAUAACUAUGGAUGAAAACGUCUCCAAAACGGCUGAAGAUAAACUUUACCGUUUUCGUUUCUAUAUCUCUUUUGGAAUCGGAAUCGAAAUCGGAAAACUCGGAUACGAAAACAGAAUCGAAUAUUAUCGAAUACAAAAAUGGAGCGGAUUCGAAUCGGAGCGGAUACGGUAACGGAAAUUUAUCACAAUAUAAAAACUCUCAAACCGAGGUUUCAAUUUCAUUUAAAACAGUAGAUCAAAAAUUUCAAACAUUAGCAACUAACCAUACCACCUUUUAUCAUUACAACCAAGUUCAUAGGUCACUUUCUUAAUGAUUGUCUAAAUACCAAAUAAAGACCAAAUUUAUAAAUUAUUAUAGUAAAGAACAAAUCACAGAGUAAAGUGUUUGUAUAUAUGUUUUGAUUAAGGACUUAAGGCUAACUUGCUGAAGUGGGCUGGGCUAUUUGGACAUAUAUUUUGGAUUUAUGCCAUAUAGGCCUGUAGAAAAAUUCUGGAAAGUUUCCGAGAAAAAUUCCGGCAAAUUUCCGACCAUUUCUGAUUUCCAAUGGAUAGAGCCCUUACCAUAGCCGUUUCCAUUUCCAAGAAAAAAAAUUCUGAAUCCGUUUCCGUUAUCGAUAAACUUCGAAAAAAUUCCGUCCGAUGAUUUCCGUUUCCGAAAACUGGUCCAGAAUCUAGAAAGAUUCUGAACUGUUUUCAUCCCUAGUCAUAACUGUGAGUGAGAGUGAGGGGAAUGGAGAGAUAGGAUCAAGAGGGUAUUUUAUAAUAAUUUAUAGAUUUAUAGUAAAAGUUUGUGCUUUCAUCUAAAUUGAAUUAAUAUGCAGACUGAAAUCUAAAUUGUUAAGAGUUGAUAUGAAAAAUAAGAGUCACUCAUAAAGCCACAUUGGAUCUUCCAUAUGAAAAAUUUUGAGCUUGGGAUUUUAGCCUACGUGGCAUUCUGAUACCACUUGUAGGAGUAGCUUCUACCGUGAAUACCCUAAGCACUCAUAAACCCCAUCUACUUGGUAUCAGGCAACUUCAUAGGAUGGCAAUUUCUUAGUCCUCUCUACUCGUAGGAGUAGCUUCUACCGUGAAUACCCUAGCACUCAUGAACCCCAUCUACUUGGUGUCAGGCAACUUUAUAGUACGGCAAUUUCUUAGUCCUCUCUAGUUAGAUAAUUCUAGUCGUUUUGGACCACGAAAUACAAUCUCCGAAACCUAUUUAUGAUUAUGAUUUAUAUUAUAAUAUAUACAAAACAUAAAUAUAUGUUUACUUUUAUUAAAGUACUUUAAGUUCAAGAUUCAUACAUUCAUGUUGACAUAGUGUUUUUAAACUAAAUACUUUAAAAUUUAUUAAUAGUUAAAGUUCUUAGUUAAUUCCAAAACGGAUAUAAUUAUUUAAUUGGACGGAGUAUGAAAUUAUGUAGACUUCAGCAGCUAUUAUGCUGAAUAAUCCAUGCAGACCGGUCAAAAUAAUAUACAGGGGAGCAGGUGAAAGUUAGGCAGCUGAAUCCAAAUAACACAGCUGAAUUUCACUAUAAAGCCAAAACGGUUGCUCUCAAAACUGUUCAAUUAGUCAUGAUGCAUCAGCAAUAAAACCUUGGACUAUGCAACCAUUUUUUGAGCAAAAACACAGCAAAGGAUGUCUCUGCACUUAAAUUAUAUUGAAAAGAAAGAAUUUACAGGUUACACAAAAACCUACAUAACUGUUUUAAUGUAUAAAAUUGACUCUUUGUAUACAGGCAUAAACACAUUUUUGGGACAAGAUUUGGUUAAAAAAGCUUUGAACAUCAAUAAUUUGUUAAAUUCAUAGUUUAAAAAUAGCACGCACAAAUUUGCUUUGGUAAGUACUAUCAUAAUAUUAGAAACUUAUACAGUUAUAGCUUGAAAAAACCUGGUAGAGAGGUGACAAUCAUGCUUAUAGUCAGAACAUUGUAUCCUACCUGCUCUCCUUCGAUUUCCAAUGUGGUAUUUUUAUGCAUAUCAUCGUAGAAAGGACCCGAAAAAAAGGUAAAUGAAUUGUCAGCAUUGGCACAUGCCAAUGAUUAUCUGUGCUCUGCUACUAAUUAUACUUCAAUGGAUAUUAUUACUAUUUAUUCCGGAAUUGCCUUUCUUAAAAAGAAUUAUCAAUCAAAUAAUCAACUAUAUAUGACUAAAUCAAGAAAAAAAAAUUCACGGGGGCCUCUACUACCCAAGCCAUCAAGAGUUGCCAUGGCCAUUAAUACGACAUGUUCUUUAUGUUACGUGAAGCCAUUUCCCUUUGUUCAUUACUACAUCCAUUUCUCUAUCUCAAAGAAAAACAAAAAAAAAGGAAAAUCAGUGCAACUAUUAUUUGUUCAUCUAUUUAAAAAAAAAAGAUAUAGAUGGACAUCAUGAAAUAUAUACAAUAUACAAACUAUGAACUUUCAUUUGUAAAGAUUUUUAUACAAAUUUCCAAAGAAAUUUAAAAGAAAAAACAUUUCAUUAGAAAACUUUCCAGAGGAAUUCUUGUGUAUAAAAAGUUUAAUUGUGAUUUUUUACUAAAAGUUUUUAUAUAAAAAUUUAUUAUAAAAACUCCAUAAAAACUACAAGAAUGUAUUUAAAUUUCAAAAAUACAUUCAAAAUAACUUCAAAUCAGAUUGAUAGAAAUAGGUCAAUGUGGGUCAUGGGUUAAGGAUGUCCACCAUGGCGAUUAAAGAAAUGAUAGAACCAUAACUAGGACCACACCAGCCCAUUGGCACAUGCUACUCAACUCAGCGUGGAAUCCCGAGCAACAUAACCAUACAUGAGCAACUUUUGUGUGGAUGUAUUUGGUUGACAGGCUGUAUGGCAAAUAUUCACUCAGCAGCAGUUUCAGAAAUCGGCAUAUUGCUCGUGCGUUACAAUAAGAUUUUAUUAAAAAAUAUUAUUAGCAUGUUAUUAAAUUAGAGCUAAUAAAAAAUAGUUUGAUAUAUAAGUCUUAGUAAUUUUUCCUUUCAAAAAAUAUGACGGGAGUUAAAGGUGGCAAUGGGUAGAUAGCCAAUGAAUACUACGACCUCGUACCCACCUCCACGAAAUAAAAUUUCACCCACUGAAUUAUCCAUUUAUAUUCAUGGUAUAAUUUUUUCUCAUACCCAUAUUCACGUGGGUAUUUUUUACCCACGGGUAAUCCACACCCAAUUAUUACCUACAAUAUAAUAAAAAUAACAAUCCAAGAUCAAUAUCAAUUGUAGUCUUGUGCUAUAAUUUAGCAAUAAACAAUGAGUACCGCAAAAGUAGUUGGCGAAUAGUUUACCACAUAAUUAGAGUUUUUUUACGUUGGGUCGAAUUUUUAUGGGUAAAUGAUAUAAUUUAUUUUUAUUUAUUUUUAGUGGAUACCUAUUGGGUGAUGGGUAUGGAUACUAACUACUUAUACUCAAACCCAAUUACCUAUCGGGUAUAAAAAUUUCUCACUAAGAUAUCCGUCGGUAUAAAAUCUAAUCUAUUUAGCCACCCUAAUAGGGUAAAUACCCGUUGGGUAUCGGGUAAUGGGUUCCUAUUGCCACCUUUAACAGGAGUUGGUGGUCAGAUAGGUGGCAGAUUCAUCAUCACCCAUCACCACCGCUCCUUUUUAUAGGAGCAUAUAUAGAUUAACAAUACAUCAAUAGGUUAAUUUAAAAAAUAUGGGUAUUAAGUAUUCCCGGACAACCUUUAAAGAACGGUAGAACAUUGUUCCCCGUGUCGUAUAUGUGCGUGAGAAUAUCCCUGCAUAUACAAGCAUCGUCCUUUCGUUUAGUUUUGAUAUUUUUAGUCUGAAGUUAUUGCCAAGAAACUGAAGUUUUAGGUCACUAAAUGAAUAAAUGGUGCCAAAUUUUCUUGUCUGAUACUUUCUCCAUUUUUUUUUGUUUGAUCUACGUUUGACCCUUCGUAUUAUUAAAAAAAUAUAUAAUUAUUGACUAUUUUAUUAUAAUUUGAUUUAUUAGUAAAGUAACUUAUGAUUUAUAAUUUUAUAUAUUUAUUGGCUAUUUUAUUAUGAUUUAAUUUAUUACUAAAGUAACUUAAAGUAUAAUUUAUAAUUUUGUAUAUAUGGAUAAAUUUUUUUAAUAAGACAAAGUGUCAAAUAUAGAUUAAAGAGUCAGCGGCGUAAAACAAACUAACCGGAGAAAGUAUUUGGUUAUAUUCCGUGAUUCACCUUGCUUAAUUUUUUUUUGGAAAACAUUAACUAUACUUUGACUCCAAGUCAAGAAUGUCGUCAACCUUAGGAGGCGUUCAAAAACAACACGUGGUCGGUCAAAAGUAUUCGUCUCCCUGCUGAGUCAAAUGGUCAAUGCAAUGCAUUAUGCCUACAUGCAGGAUUGGUUAAUUAAAUUUCUGCCCUCGUCCGACGCGCAAAUGCGAUCAAAUUUCCUAGUCAGACUAUCAAAUAAGAAUUUUGUCUUUGUUUAUGACAAUGCGUUUUUGUUUGGAUGGGGAUGAGUUUGAUUCACAAACCAAUAGCUAUUAACUUAGGCUGGACCGAGUAAUCACUAACUACUUCGCCCCCAAAACUUAUGAUGUUUGCAAAAUAAGUAUUUUUUUGUACGAGCAUUUGUAAGAAUAUUAGAGAUUAAGAGUUCUUUUAAGGUGCCUAAGAGCAAACAAUAAAUUAUAGCCAAUGAAUUUUUAUUUUCUUUAUCAGUAAUAUAUAUAUAUAUUAUUUCAAAUCAGAAAAUUACAGCAUACUAGCUUAACGCCCAUGCUUUGCUACGGAUGAAAAAAAUAUAGUACAAUAUUAUCUAAAAUAAAUAAAAGUAUAAUUUUCAUGAAAUGUGUUACCCAAGCUAACUUGAUUUUAUAUGUAGUUAUUCUUUGGUAUUUGAUUGUUUCUUGAUGUUAAGAAGUUCAAGGGGUAAUCUAAAAAAAUCACAGAGUAGGUACCAUUAUCUACCUUUCAACGAAUAUAGAAAACGAAGUUACCAAUUGUCAUAAUUACCCUUUCUAAAUUUAAGCAUGCAUGCAUGCAAUAAAGUUAAAGCUACAACGUCAUACCGUUUAUUUAGGCCACUGCUGAAGCAUACCAAAAUAUUCAUAUGGCUCACUAGAGAUGAAAACUGUUAGAAAUAUCAUCAUUUUUAUAUUUGUUGGGAAACAGUCUUGUUACGAUUAAGAUUUUCUUAUAUUUAUUGAUUUAAUUAUUUAACAAUGACUUUGAUAAUUUAACGAUGACUUUGAUACAACUGGGAGUAGAUUAUGUUCCGAAAUUGUCUUACAGUCCAAAAUUGGUCGGAAAAUCAAUCGCCAAUGAUCUGUUCGGAUCGGAUGAGGCUUCUUGUGCAGAUGUGGGCCAUAGCAAGAUGGGGCUCACCUUGUUAGUGACUCAACUGCACAUGCAUUUAAGUUUCCACCAUGCUACAUUGGCACAUAGCCACAGAUCGAUCCAUCCUUAAAAUAAAAAAAGUGAGAAAUACAAAAACCCCAACUUGAAGCCUGCAUUUUUUUCCCCUCCCUCUUCAACCACCUCCAUAUUACCUCCCCUGUUGUCCCUAUCUAGGCUCAUCACAUAAGCAGAAACGAAAAAAAAUCCCUCUGAAUUUAAUAUUAAAAUUAAAAUUUUGUCUUAUAAAGAUAAGCAGAAACGAAAAUAACGAAAAUAUGACUGAUAGUUAGUAAGUAUUAUUGUACUUGUUCUGAUAGCCCUUAGGAAUUACUCCCCAGUUCCAAAAUGAACAAACUUCUGGAGUUUAAAUGUUAUCCCAAAAUACAUGAACUUCUACCUUCUUACCAACCACCAGUUCACAAAUUAAAAAAUUUACUCGGUUCAAUAUAUAAUACCCCUUACUAAACCAGUAAACCACCCACCAAUACUAAGUGGUAAUUUGGGAAGCAUUUUAGACAUUUGAUCCUAAUCCUUAAUUUCUUUAAAACUAUACUAGAUAGCUAUAUUUUAGUUGACGUCUGAUCUUAAAAGCGAACAUCCGUUCUCCAGUACUGUGAUAAGUAUAAAGCCAAAAAUCCAUAGAAAUGUUUUUCUUCAAUUUUCUACCACUGCUUAUCAAAAACAUUAAAACUAGCAUUUGAAGGUUUUUUAGUUGAACCUACCGCGAGAUAUGUAAUAUUGUUACGGGCUCCUAUGAUUCAAAGGAAAUUCAUACGAAUUUUUGAGGAUUUCAUUCCUAUAGGAAUUUUCCUACAAAGUCAUUUGAAUCAAACAAAUGAACCCUAUGAAAUCCUAUGGUAUGCCUCUUCUCAUAUAAGUUUUGGAGGAAAUUUAACAAGAGGUAGAACUUCAUGCAAAAAAAAUCCUUUGAGUCUUUAUCUCUCCUUAAAUUCCUGUGUUUUUUCUGUGGUCCAAUCAAACGGUUAUUUUUAUGUUUUUCCUGUAUUAUGCAAUCCUCUGUUUUACACUUAAAUUCCUAUCAGAAUCCUAUGUUUUUCCUAUUCUUCCGUUUUUUUCAUUCCUGUGAUUCAAAGUGGCCUAAGAUUUAACUAACCCUCCAAGAAAAAGCUUACCACAGAAAACAACAACACAUUAUAAUAUGCAAUACUCUAGAAUACCCACCCACCUACAGUUGCGUUCUUUUAUCUGAUUGUUCUAGAAUUUUUCUUUGAUUUUACAGGCACUUUUCAUGAAUUGAUAAACAGUGUAUUGUUUAUAAAAAAAUUCUAUGGAGAAGUUCAUCAUCUCAUAUUUCUACAGUAGAUUUUUCACUUUGUAAUAGUUAAUUUAUCAUUUAUACCACUAAACACGUAUCACAAAAUUGGAUAAUCUUUCAUCUUUCAUCCUUAUCACCAAAAGAACAUAGCCUGAAUGUUCUAGUAGAUUAACCCACUAAAUCAUUGACUAACUAUUUGCAACUGUUCGUUUUUACCAUUUAGAUCAAAUUGUUAGAUAUUAGCUUUCGUAAAGAAGCAGCAGCAGAAGUUUCUGAUAAUUUACAAUAUUUUCCAUCUAUUUUAACUUCUUUUGUCAAGCUAAUAAUUUUUUUGUACAAAACAAUCAAUCCUUCCUUUUAUUAAUAUAGGGGUAUUUAUUUACAUCUACACAAAUAUUUAUAACAUAUAAAAUAGUGUGCGAUCAUAUUUUUACAUGUACUUCAUCAAAGGGCUAUAUUGUAGCUGGGUUCUCACGCCAUGGAAUCCUAGCAAGUGGCAACUAUUUUAUUUGCAAACCUGAUGGUCCAGGUCAAGUUCCAGUGGUAUAUCUUAUUGUUAGGCACAUUCGUCGCAGGUCUUCCUACGUCUUAUUAUACAAUAGAACUGCAACAACUCCCAAUAAUAAGCAGAACAGAAGAGGUUGGUGUUAGACCAGAUGAACAUUAAUGAAGCUUUAUCAUGUAUAAAAGCGUGCAUCCAUGCAUGGAUCUUCCAAGUUCGCAGUGCAUUCAGUUGCUGCUUUAGACAUCUAUAAUCAGCAGUAACAAUGUCCUCUCCAGGCUUUCAUCGGCUUCUUUAUGUGUUGAAAUUCAUCGGCUUCCUACCAUUAGUCAUCAGCAGCAGAAUUGAAAAUGAUCGGCAAGCCCUCCUUUGCUUCAAGUCCCAGAUCACAGGUUCAGCUGCAGUUCUAGCCUCAUGGAGCAAUGCAUCCAUGGAAUUCUGCAGCUGGCAUGGGGUCACUUGCAGUACACAAUCCCCACUCCGGGUAAUUGCACUUGAUCUCCCAUCAGAAGGAAUCACAGGCAGCAUACCACCUUGUAUUGCCAACCUCACUGAACUUACAAGGCUCCAACUGUCAAAUAAUAGCUUCCAUGGCAGCAUACCAUCCGAGCUUGGCUUCCUAACCCAGCUCAGCAUCCUCAACUUCAGCAUGAACUCCUUUGAAGGUAACAUCCCGUCUCAACUGACUUCAUGUUCCGAGCUUCAGAAGAUCGACCUCAGCAACAACAAACUCCAUGGGAGCAUCCCUUCUGCUUUUGGGGAUCUAACUAAGCUGCAAACACUUAAACUCUCCAGAAACCAGCUUUCUGGUGACAUACCACAAUCAUUGGGAAGCAACCUUUCACUAACAUAUGUUAAUCUUGGGAGGAAUGCUCUCACAGGGAGAAUCCCAGAAUCAUUGGCAAGCAGCACAUCUUUGAAGGUUCUAAAGCUCAUGAGCAAUUAUCUUACUGGAGAAAUCCCAAUGGCUCUAUUCAAUUGUUCAUCACUGGUUGAUCUUGAUCUCAAACAGAAUAACUUUGUUGGUUCUAUACCACCUAUUACUGCAAUAUCUCCGCAAAUGAAAUAUCUUGAUCUACAAAACAAUAAUCUCACAGGAACAAUACCUUCUUCACUAGGAAACAUUUCCUCCCUAAUUGAACUUGUUCUCGCAUCGAACAAUUUAGUUGGAAGCAUCCCAGAUAUCUUAGGUCAUGUUCCAACACUAGAGAGACUGGAAGUUAAUAUGAACAACUUAUCCGGCCCAGUUCCACCAUCUAUCUUCAAUGCAUCAUCACUGAUAUAUCUUGGAAUCGCAAACAACUCCCUUACGGGAGAAUUACCCUCAAACAUUGGCUACACACUCCCAAAUAUUCAGAAGUUAAUCCUCAUGUAUAACAAAUUGAGUGGCUCAAUCCCAAGUUCGCUUCUUAAUGCAUCCCAACUGCAGAGCCUUUCCAUUGCUAAUAACACCUUAACUGGGCCCAUACCAUUCUUUGGAUCAUUGCAGAAUCUGAAGAAACUCGACAUUGGAUGGAAUAUGCUAGAAGCAGGUGACUGGAGCUUCGUAUCAUCACUCUCAAAUUGCUCCAAAUUGACUGAACUGAAGCUGGAUGGGAAUAAUCUUCAAGGGAACCUACCAAGUUCUAUUGCUAACCUUUCUAGCAGUCUCACACACUUGUGGUUAGGAAAUAACCAAAUGUAUGGGCUUAUACCACCAGGGAUCGGCAAUCUUAAGAGUCUGAGUAUGUUGUACAUGGAUUACAAUUAUUUAGCUGGUAAUAUACCAGCAACAAUUGGAUUUCUACACAAAAUGGUCGACAUGUCCUUCGCGCAAAACAAACUGUCUGGGCAAAUCCCUGCUACUAUAGGCAACCUUGUUCAGCUGAAUGAGCUGCAUCUUGAUGGAAAUAACUUGAGUGGAAGCAUACCUGCAGGUAUACAUGACUUCACUCAACUCAAGAUACUCAACCUUGCUCACAACUCACUUCAUGGGACUAUACCAAUUGAUAUCUUUAAAAUAUUUUCUCUCUCUGAACAUUUGGAUUUGUCAUACAAUUACUUGACUGGAGGAAUACCACAAGAAGUUGGCAAUCUCAUUAAUCUAAAGAAACUUAGCAUCUCAAAUAAUAGGUUGUCUGGAAACGUCCCAUCCACUCUUGGUGACUGUGUGUUUCUUGAAUCUCUUGAGCUGCAAAGUAAUUUCCUUGAAGGAAUUAUUCCAGAAUCUUUUGCGAAAUUGGAAGGCAUCAAGAAGUUGGAUGUUUCUCAUAACCAGUUGUCUGGAAAAAUUCCAGAGUUCGUCACUUCCUUCAAGUCUCUACUUAAUAUUAAUUUAUCCUUCAACAAUUUUAACGGAUCAGUUCCAAGUGGUGGUGUUCUUCUGGAUGCUAGUGUGAUCUCAGUUGAAGGAAAUGAUCGUUUAUGUGCAAGGGUACCAUUGAAAGGUAUACCUUUUUGUUCAGCAUUGGAUGACAGGGGAAGGGUGCACAAGUCAUUGGUUCUAGCAUUGAAGAUAGUUAUACCAGUUGUUGCUGUUAUCACCAUUUUAUGUUUUCUGACGAUUUGUUCUAGAAAGAGAAUGCAGCUAAAUUCGAGAAAGUGGAUGCAAGUAAAGCCAGAUUCGCGACAAUUCAAUGGGGACCUGAAGAAGAUUACGUAUCAUGACAUUGUGAAGUCCACAAAAGGGUUUUCCUCAGUUAAUUUGAUUGGAUCAGGAUCAUUUGGAACAGUUUACAAGGGCAAUCUGGAAUUUCGAAAAGACCAAGUUGCCAUCAAGAUUUUUAACCUUGGCACAUAUGGAGCACAUAGGAGCUUUGAUGCAGAGUGUGAAGCCCUACGAAAUGUCCGCCAUCGAAAUCUUGUCAAAGUCAUCACUGUGUGCUCUUCAGUGGAUUCUACAGGGGCAGAUUUUAGGGCCUUAGUGUUUGAUUACAUCCAAAAUGGGAACCUUGAUAUGUGGUUACAUCCGAAGGAACAUGAUCAUGGUCAAAGAAUUUUUCUAACGUUAAGCCAGAGAAUUAAUAUAGCCUUAGACAUAUCAUUUGCUCUGGAUUAUCUUCACAACCGAUGUAAAUCUCCACUAGUACAUUGUGACUUGAAGCCAAGCAACAUCCUUUUAGAUCAUGACAUGGUUGCAUACGUCAGUGACUUCGGUUUAGCAAGAUUUCUAUGCACCAGAUCAAAUUCAGAUCAAGAAAGUUUAACAAGUUUGUGUUGUCUAAAAGGAUCUUUCGGAUACAUCCCACCAGGUGAGAUAGCUUUUCUAAACAAAGUUGUUCUUUUUCCUUCUCUUAGACCUAUGCAAAACAAUUCGCUAUGCCUAUUCGCUAAUUUAUUUAAUACAUCUUUCCAAUGUAAAUGCAGAGUAUGGCAUGAGCGAAGAGAGAUCAACAAAGGGUGACGUCUAUAGUUUCGGGGUGCUUCUUUUAGAAAUGGUCACAGGCAUUAGUCCAAUUGAUGACAUAUUUAAUGACGGUACAAGCCUGCAUGAACUUGUUGCUAGAGACUUUCCCAAAGAUAUAUUCAAGGUUGUUGAUCACACCAUGCUACAAGAUGAAAUUGAUGCUGCUGAAGUGAUGCAGAGUUGCAUUAUUCCGUUGGUCAGGAUAGGACUCUCUUGCUCCAUGGCUUCACCCAAAGACCGAUGCGAAAUGGGACAAGUCUGUGCUGAGAUCCUUAGAAUCAAGCGUGAAUUCUCAAAGAUCGAUGGUGAAUGAAGAAAAAAAGAAACAUCGCAGUGUUGACAUGAGCUCCAGCCCCUUGCCAUUAAGCUUCUGUCUAUUCAAUGCAUAGAUCAUCCAUGAAACUUUAGUUUUGUCUUUUUCCCCCUUAGACUGUCUCUUAAACUUCAAUGAAGAAAAAUAGUAACAUGUUGCAUUUGUGAAUACAAGGAUGAUUCUUUUGCUUUCUUGAAACAUCUAAAGUUUUUGUUUUCUGAAACAUGACUCUGAAAACGUUAGAGAAGGUGUAGAGAGGCAGCUACCAUGGCCGCAAGCAGAGCUGUGAGUGGAAACCAGAAGGGGUAGACGGCGGAGGACGGCAUACCAGAAUUAGCAAAAGCAGAUAUUGGUCAGAUUGUAGCUAGCAACAGAGGUUGAUGCAAAGAAGAAUACCAUUAAGGCAUAAAUCUACCAUCUUAUGUUUUUUUCCCCCAAUUUCUAUAGUCCAGUUUGGCUAAUGACAUUUGCAGAAAGCAAUGUCCGUCUGUCCACUAUGAUUCUCAUAUUAAACGUAAGUGGCAAUUGGUUUUUCCAGCCAAAGCCAACCAGAUGCCUACACAAGAUGUAUGAAAUUCGUGUUGGAUUCAGGACUAGAACUCGAAUCCAGAAGAUAGCAGAAAUCCCGCACGGAUCGAUCUCGUCCCAGGCCGCAGCCUAAUCCGGCCGCGGUCAAAACAACAACGCGAUGGAGGAAAAAAAAAAUGCGCGCGUACCUGGUACUCUCGGUGGGUGCCCCAGCUGCCAUGGAGCGCCGCGCCGCCGCAAGAUGGCCCCCCGUUGUCUCUACGGAUCCCCCGCCGCUCGAUCUCCUACUGCCGUGCU
rnacentral:lncRNA from 1 species